rnacentral:lncRNA from 1 species
AUGAUGUCAGACUGUACUUGGUUUGAAGUAAUACCUUUUUCUGCCAUAAUGUUUCAAAAACUUGUGGAAGAUGUUUGUAAUAAGUUCGUGAUGAAAGAAGAAGUCUUGUUCAUAUUGGCUUACUCCAAGUCAGGAAUGAACUGGCUGGUUGAGAGUGUCUGCUUGAUUCAGACCAAGGAAGAUCCCAAGUGGAUCUAAUCUGUGCCCAUUUGGAACCAGUCAAACUGACCAGAGUCUGAUACAGGAUACCCUGUAUUAGUCAAUAAGGAAGGACCAUGACUCAUAACCUCCCAUCUCUUUUCUCCAGGUCUUUCUUUAGUUCCAAGGCCAAGGCAAUCUAUCUCAUCAGAAAUCCCAAAGAUGUUCUUGUGUUUGGUUAUUUUUCCUGUGGUAAGACAAACCUUGUGAAGAAUCCAGGGUCACUCAGGACAUAUUUUGAAUGGUUCCUUAAAAGAAAUG